GGGGUGCCCGGCCCAUCCCCCGCGCCUUUGGGAGUGCCGGCUCCCGGGAUCGCGGGUUCGAGACCCGCGCCCGCCGAUCUCGAUGGCCGGCGCCGGGCAGCCAUGUCCCGAGGAAUUUCUCCCGCGGGGAAGAGGAGAUCCUGCAUCCUCCCAUCGUCCCCGUUGGUUUUUGCACGUCCCUUAGGCAGGACAGGUGCAAUGAUUCUGCAAGCUCUUUGAACAUCAGCGGCUUCAGGCAAAAUCAGAACCACAGUAUGUCAAGCUCUCAAACAGGGCCAUGGGAGAGGCGAGCUGAGGUUUCAUUGUAAAGCAGAAUGGUUUACAGGUCUGUUGUCUCUAUUGAAGGUCCACUUUUAACAAGCUUAAACAGUCCUCAUGCAUGCUGAGACUGCUGAGAAAUUCGAGCGCGUUGUAUGUUGCAGCACAACUCCAUGUUUUUUAAACUUGAAGCAUCCAAAACAAACUCAAAAACCAGUUUAGGGCCACAGGUACCACAUUCUUCCACAGUUACACAGCAGAGAUGCAGCCCAAUUAAAAGAGGAGUAACCCUAAGCCACAUUGACAUAAGUCAUCUGCCGCCUCAUGGCCUCGGGGCCAAGAACUGGUUCUUGCUUCUCUUUCAGUUUGCAGUAUAGCUAUAGGCUUGCAAUCUCUACUCCAAGGCCACGGCAGUGUCUCACAGGCAUGUUUCUCUCCCAUAUACAAUUGCCUAAAUCAUCACUAACUCUUGCAAACAGCACUUCUCUCUGCUCUGUAAAACGGGAAAUCCAAUGACAAAACCUGCUAAUGGCCGAACAAAUUCCAACACCCAGUUCCAUGUGGUCUGCUGUGCAUGACCUCCACAAAUUCAGGAAGUGAAGGUAAGGUGAGCUGCGGGGCCAGCUUUAAAUCCAUCUGUGAUGGAUGCCCUUGACUCUUGACCAAACUUGUGGUAGUUUGGUUCAGUGUCCAAAGGAAGCAAAGGCUUCAGCCACAACCAGGCCAAAAACUUCUCUAUUUCCAACCUGUUCUCUGAAAACCCCCACAGGAACAGGGUGACAUGGUGAGCACUGAUGCAUAUGGGCUUGGAAACCAACACCUGCUGUGCAAUUAACACAUGAAUAGCAGGUGGUUCUUCCAAGACUCAUUUAUCAAGGAACAAAGAAUGUUGUGGGUACAAGGAGUCUCAUGUUUACCUUUUCCAUAACAUGUAAUCUGACUGCAAGCCAACCACUUUAUUCCAUGAAUACGACAGCCUGAAGUGAGCCUUCUUUGAGCUCUCCCUGCUAAGCAGCUGGCUGCACAAUGGUGAUCUUCUCUUGAGCUGGAACACCUCUAAAAGUUACUCCUCGAGGCUGAGAGACCCCUUACCAACUGCAGAUCUUUGGUAUGUGACCAGUAUCACACACAACCUCAUAUCAUAGUGCACUAGAUUUUGUCUUAGUAACUUUGAAUCAUUAUUAUAUCCUCUCUCUGCAAUAAGUAAGAGUGAACCUUGCCAUCGAACUUCAUCUCAUCUCAUUUUCACAACAUCUUACUUCAAUGAAACCACUUGUGCUGAUACCUUUGGCGCUGGUUCUUCAAGCGGUCUGCGACAUCACCUUCUUUGCGCAAGGCUCCAACACAUUCCAACUCCACACCUCUGCACACCCAUCCCUUGCUCCGUUUCAGAGCCACCUCCUGCAUCUGCACUCAGUGUUACCUCAUGUGGCUUGUUUCUCUCUUACCAACAAACCACACGGCAAGGAUUCUGUCCUCCACUACACAACGCAGCACUGAAAUGAGGCACACUGGAUUUCUCAAGGACUUCUCUCUGUGUCAUAAACAUGGAGACGGAUGUGUGAGAGACUGAUCUGAAAUCAGACUCCUCUGUCCGUUGUCUCAAAGAUUGGUAUGAGAAGCUGAGAUGGAAUUCCACCAAUCCAUUGUCUCAGAGAUGGGUGGGAGGAGUUGAGAUAAGACUCCAACAUCCAUUGCCUGGGAGAAGGGUGUGAAGAGCUGAACUGGGACUCCA